UUAAAAUUUGAUGAUUACUGAUAGAAUAAUCAAGGGGAAAAGGGUUUUUAUUUUUUGAGAGAGAAAGUGUUCAAAAAAUGGGAGGAAGAUGAUUGCGACAAAUGGUGGUCAUAAUUUAACCGACGCAGCAAAAUUCUUGGACGGGAAAAUUCACUGGGAAUAAUCAUUUUGGAGGUCGGGUUAAUUGGAUUUGUCGAGACGGAAAGUGUUUUUGGCAGGGGAAGGAAGAAGAAUUCGACAGGUACAGUUUCAAGAAAAAUAGUGGGUAGACAAAAAGCAGAACCUGAACAACGAUAUUAGAUUUGAGGAUAAGUUUUACAUCUGGAGUGGUCUCAUUUUCAGGAUUCAUCCGACGGUUUAGACCCCAUCAUCUAUCAAUCAACGAUGGCUAUCCCAUCAGAAAUUAGUAAAACCCAGCAGCCCGUUUCCCCGUUGAGCUCUGGAGGGCGUGAAGGUCCGUCUGAGUACUCAUUUAUGUGUUUGCCUCUGCCCUAUCCUGGCGCAUGGGCUGCCCAGAGGAGAGAUGGCUUUUGGAAGGGCAUCAAGUGUAUCAUACUGUUGAAUAUGCUCUUCCACUUAUCAAAAUUUCGUGAAAAUUGUAAGUCAUUCCCUCUCCUAUCUCUUACUUCUUCUCCAUUUGAAGAUUAGGUGAGGUUUGAUCUUUAUAUUUGAAAAAGUUAGAUACAAAAACCGUUCUUAUCGUAUGCUAAAAUCUUAAAAUUAAAAAAAAAAAAUCAUGUGGACGAAAUCAAAGUUUUAAAACCAUGAGAACUCAAUUAUAAUUAUCUUUAGAUUAUAAGAAUGUUAUAAAUUUGUAAUUUAAAGGAUAGGAUUGAUUCGAUAAUAACAUUCAUGGAACUCUACUACUAAGAAGAUAUAACUUAGACUCGGUUAAUAAAAAUAUUUAUUGACGUU